GACAUAAGUGUCAAAAGUCAAAAUGCGUUCCUGCUUGCAGGAAAAGCAUGUUGACCUUAUGACACGCUGAAACAUGAGGAAAUAGCAUUUUCUUAGAAAAAUAGCGGUUUCCGAAUGUUUCUAGGAUUGCGAGAAUUUCGUAAGAAAUGGAGCAAUCCGUAU
rnacentral:sRNA from 1 species